GCGGGAGUGGUGAAAUGGCAGACACGCCAGUCUUAGGAACUGGUGCUCCGGCGUGCGGGUUCAAGUCCCGCCUCCCGCACCA
rnacentral:tRNA from 2 species